GAUGAACGCUGGCGGCGUGCCUAAUACAUGCAAGUCGAGCGAACGGACGAGAAGCUUGCUUCUCUGAUGUUAGCGGCGGACGGGUGAGUAACACGUGGAUAACCUACCUAUAAGACUGGGAUAACUUCGGGAAACCGGAGCUAAUACCGGUUAAUAUUUUGAACCGCACGGUUCAAAAGUGAAAGACGGUCUUGCUGUCACUUAUAGAUGGAUCCGCGCUGCAUUAGCUAGUUGGUAAGGUAACGGCUUACCAAGGCAACGAUGCAUAGCCGACCUGAGAGGGUGAUCGGCCACACUGGAACUGAGACACGGUCCAGACUCCUACGGGAGGCAGCAGUAGGGAAUCUUCCGCAAUGGGCGAAAGCCUGACGGAGCAACGCCGCGUGAGUGAUGAAGGUCUUCGGAUCGUAAAACUCUGUUAUUAGGGAAGAACAUAUGUGUAAGUAACUGUGCACAUCUUGACGGUACCUAAUCAGAAAGCCACGGCUAACUACGUG
rnacentral:rRNA from 1 species